rnacentral:rRNA from 1 species
GCUUACGGCCACACUACCCUGAACACGCCCGAUCUCGUCUGAUCUCGGAAGCUAAGCAGGGUCGGGCCUGGUCAGUACUUGGAUGGGAGACCGCCUGGGAAUACCAGGUGCUGUAAGCU